rnacentral:rRNA from 1 species
GAUCCUGGCUCAGGAUGAACGCUAGCGGCAGGCCUAACACGUGCAAGUCGAGGGGCAGCACGUUAAAGAGUUUACUCUUUAUGGUGGCGACCGGCGGACGGGUGCGUAACGCGUAUGCAACCUGCCUGACACAGGGGGGAUAAUCCGAAGAAAUUUGGUCUAAUACCCCAUAAUACCGAUAUAGGCAUCUAUGUUGGUUGAAAGCUUUGGUGGUGUCAGAUGGGCAUGCGUUGUAUUAGCUAGUUGG